AAAUUCAAAAAAAUUCAGGUGUAAUUAAAAUGAUAACCUAUUUUCGUAUUAUUUGUUAGCGAUGAAAGAAAUUCUUGUAUCAUAGUUAAACGAACUAUUUGGCGAAAAGAAAUGGAUGUUCAACAAAUAAUACUGAAGCACGCAUAAUUUUGAAAAAGCAACUGUGAUGCUCAUGAAUGAAAGCCAGUUCGGCAACGUAUGGAAAAAAAGAAGAAUAUUGAAAGAAUAGGUUACUGAAACAGUAAUCAAUAAAAGCUUCCAUAAGCAUCAUUUAUCGUAUUGUCAAAAAGAUGAAAAUAAACGAAUUAACUAUCUCGACUAGCUUUCAAUUUGUUCAAUUCAAACAACCGUCUCUGUACCUUUCCAUUAUUUUUGCCAGCGUCCCGAAAUCUGAUAGUUGAGUUCUUACUACGAAGGUUCGGAAUCAAUUCUUUUUGUAAUAUUAUUGCAGUAGUUAUAAAUGUAUUUAUUUAAUGACUAUGUAAGUUUAUUUAUCUUUGUGUUUAGCUGUCAGGAUAAUAUAAUACCGUAUUAUGUUCCCUUGCACUAUAU
rnacentral:lncRNA from 1 species